ACCGUGCAAAGGUAGCGCAAUCACUUGUCCUUUAAAUGAAGACCUGUAUGAAUGGCAUAACGAGGGCUUUACUGUCUCCCCUCUCAAGUCAGUGAAAUUGAUCUGCCCGUGCAGAAGCGGACAUAAAAAUAUAAGACGAGAAGACCCUUUGGAGCUUAAGAUAUAAGCCAACUAUGUCAAUAAGCCCAUUACCCAGCUUUAAACUUAAUAAUUAUGGCCCACAUCUUCGGUUGGGGCGACAAUGGAGAAAAACAAAGCCUCCACAUGGCAUGGGAUCUCCCCUAAAAUUAAGAGUGACCCCUCUAAGUAUCAGAACCUCUGACCUAUAGAUCCGGCUCCUUGCCGAUCAACGAACCAAGUUACCCUAGGGAUAACAGCGCAAUCCUCUUCUAGAGUUCCUAUCGACAAGGGGGUUUACGACCUCGAUGUUGGAUCAGGACAUCCUAAUGG
rnacentral:rRNA from 1 species